rnacentral:lncRNA from 1 species
CCGGGCCGUCUGCGCGGGGUGGUGCCGCGUGUGCACCCGAGAGGGCCGACAUGUUGGGGUGCACGUGGUGGCGCGCGAGCUCCUGCACGCUCGUCGCCCGUCGGUGGCGCCCUAUGCCGUCCGCGCGGCGCAGAGCCAGCGACUUCCCGCCAGCGGCUUUUCUGGCGGGCGAGGGCCGGGCCGGGCCAAUGGGGACGCGGUGACCUCAUCAGGCCUGCGUGUCACCACGUGCGCAGCGGCGCGGGGAGGGGGUGUGUCCCUCGGAUACGGAUACGGAGCGCGGCCUCACCCCCGCUGCUGAGGGCUCGGGAGCAGCCGGCCCAGCGCGCCGCACCGCGGUGCACCCCGGCGCUCCUCUCUGCGCCCCGACGCCGUUUCGGCAGCGCAGCCCGAGGUCGGUCUCUGCAGCCCGAGGUCGGACUCUCUGCAACCCGAGGCCGGUCUCUGCAGCCUGAGGUCGGACUCUCUGCAGCCCGAGGUCGGUCUCUCUACAGCCCGAGGUCGGUCUCUCCGCAGCCUGAGGUCGGACUCUCUGCAGCCCGAGGCCCGUCUCUCCGCAGCCCGAGCCCGAGGCCGGUGUCUCUGUCCACAGCCCGAUGUCUCCGCCCGAGGUCCGUGGCUCCGCGGCCCGACGCCGGACUGUCCGCAGCCCGGGGUCUCCGCAGCCUGAGGCCCGUGGCUCCGCGGCCCGACGCCGGACCGUCCGC